rnacentral:rRNA from 1 species
ACGAACACUGGCGGCGUGCUUAACACAUGCAAGUCGAACGGAAAGGCCCUGCUUUUGUGGGGUGCUCGAGUGGCGAACGGGUGAGUAACACGUGAGUAACCUGCCCUUGACUUUGGGAUAACUUCAGGAAACUGGGGCUAAUACCGGAUAGGAGCUCCUGCUGCAUGGUGGGGGUUGGAAAGUUUCGGCGGCUGGGGAUGGACUCGCGGCUUAUCAGCUUGUUGGUGGGGUAGUGGCUUACCAAGGCUUUGACGGGUAGCCGGCCUGAGAGGGUGACCGGCCACAUUGGGACUGAGAUACGGCCCAGACUCCUACGGGAGGCAGCAGUGGGGAAUAUUGCACAAUGGGCGGAAGCCUGAUGCAGCAACGCCGCGUGCGGGAUGACGGCCUUCGGGUUGUAAACCGCUUUCGCCUGUGACGAAGCGUGAGUGACGGUAAUGGGUAAAGAAGCACCGGCUAACUACGUG